rnacentral:rRNA from 1 species
UACGUAGGGCGCAAGCGUUGUCCGGAAUUAUUGGGCGUAAAGAGCUCGUAGGCGGCUUGUCACGUCGAUUGUGAAAGCCCGAGGCUUAACCUCGGGGUCUGCAGUCGAUACGGGCUAGCUAGAGUGUGGUAGGGGAGAUCGGAAUUCCUGGUGUAGCGGUGAAAUGCGCAGAUAUCAGGAGGAACACCGGUGGCGAAGGCGGAUCUCUGGGCCAUUACUGACGCUGAGGAGCGAAAGCGUGGGGAGCGAACAGG